UUGAUGAUGAUAUUUUUGGUCCGUGUUUAUGAAUUUUCAAUGAUUUUAAUCACUUACCAUUACUGAUUUUU
rfam:Phlebotomus papatasi Contig181.6, whole genome shotgun sequence.